rnacentral:rRNA from 1 species
AGGCAGCAGGCGCGCAAAUUACCCACUCUUAGCACGAGGAGGUAGUGACGAAAAAUAACAAUACGGGACUCUUUCGAGGCCCCGUAAUUGGAAUGAGUACACUCUAAACCCGUUAACGAGGAUCUAUUGGAGGGCAAGUCUGGUGCCAGCAGCCGCGGUAAUUCCAGCUCCAAUAGCGUAUAUUAAAGCUGUUGCAGUUAAAAAGCUCGUAGUCGGAUUUCGGGCGGCGGCCAAUGGUUCGGCUCCGUGCCGAUACUGCUGGUCGCGGCCUCCUCGCCGGUCGUCUUUCGGUGCUCUUAACUGAGUGCCUUAAGUAGCCGGAGCGUUUACUUUGAAAAAAUUAGAGUGUUCAAGGCAGGCCUCGAGCCUGAAUGAUGGUGCAUGGAAUAAUGGAAUAGGACCUCGGUUCUAUUUUGUUGGUCUUCGGAACUGGAGGUAAUGAUUAAUAGGGACGGACGGGGGCAUUCGUAUUGCGGCGUUAGAGGUGAAAUUCUUGGAUCGUCGCAAGACGGACUACUGCGAAAGCAUUUGCCAAGAAUGUUUUCAUUGAUCAAGAGCGAAAGUCAGAGGAUCGAAGACGAUCAGAUACCGUCCUAGUUCUGACCAUAAACGAUGCCGACUAGCGAUCCGGCUCCGUUGCUUCAUAAGACUGGCCGGGCAGCUCCCGGGAAACCAAAGUCUAUGGGUUCCGGGGGAAGUAUGGUUGCAAAGCUGAAACUUAAAGGAAUUGACGGAAGGGCACCACCAGGAGUGGAGCCUGCGGCUUAAUUUGACUCAACACGGGAAAACUCACCCGGCCCGGACACCGUAAGGAUUGACAGAUUGAAAGCUCUUUCUUGAUUCGGUGGGUGGUGGUGCAUGGCCGUUCUUAGUUGGUGGAGCGAUUUGUCUGGUUAAUUCCGAUAACGAACGAGACUCUAGCCGGCUAACUAGUCCGUCGAUGCCAUACGUCGUCGGCGCAUACGACUUCUUAGAGGGACCAGUGGCGCUUAGCCACGCGAGAUUGAGCAAUAACAGGUCUGUGAUGCCCUUAGAUGUUCGGGGCCGCACGCGCGCUACACUGAAGGAAUCAACGUGUCUACUGUCCCACCUCGAAAGGGGUGGGUAAUCCGUUGAACCUCCUUCGUGCUAGGGAUUGGGGCUUGCAAUUCUUCCCCAUGAACGAGGAAUUCCCAGUAAGCGCGAGUCAUAAGCUCGCGUUGAUUACGUCCCUGCCCUUUGUACACACCGCCCGUCGCUACUACCGAUUGAAUGGUUUAGUGAGGUCCUCGGACUGGUGGCGUUCGCCGCGUCUCGUGCGCGCGUGGACGUCCUGCCGGGAAGACGAUCGAACUUGAUCA